UUGCUCCUCUGACGUUAGCGGCGGACGGGUGAGUAACACGUGGAUAACCUACCUAUAAGACUGGGAUAACUUCGGGAAACCGGAGCUAAUACCGGAUAAUAUAUUGAACCGCAUGGUUCAAUAGUGAAAGACGGUUUUGCUGUCACUUAUAGAUGGAUCCGCGCCGCAUUAGCUAGUUGGUAAGGUAACGGCUUACCAAGGCAACGAUGCGUAGCCGACCUGAGAGGGUGAUCGGCCACACUGGAACUGAGACACGGUCCAGACUCCUACGGGAGGCAGCAGUAGGGAAUCUUCCGCAAUGGGCGAAAGCCUGACGGAGCAACGCCGCGUGAGUGAUGAAGGUCUUCGGAUCGUAAAACUCUGUUAUUAGGGAAGAACAAAUGUGUAAGUAACUAUGCGCGUCUUGACGGUACCUAAUCAGAAAGCCACGGCUAACUACGUGCCAGCAGCCGCGGUAAUACGUAGGUGGCAAGCGUUAUCCGGAAUUAUUGGGCGUAAAGCGCGCGUAGGCGGUUUUUUAAGUCUGAUGUGAAAGCCCACGGCUCAACCGUGGAGGGUCAUUGGAAACUGGAAAACUUGAGUGCAGAAGAGGAAAGUGGAAUUCCAUGUGUAGCGGUGAAAUGCGCAGAGAUAUGGAGGAACACCAGUGGCGAAGGCGACUUUCUGGUCU
rnacentral:rRNA from 1 species